UCGUACCUUUUGCAUCAUGAAUUAGCCAGUAAACAUUAAGCAAAACGACUUUUAGUUUAAAUCCCCGAAACUAAGUGAGCUACUCCAAGACAGCCUAAAUAUAGGGCAAACCCGUCUCUGUGGCAAAAGAGUGGGAAGAUCUUCGAGUAGAGGUGACAGAUCUAUCGAACUUAGUUAUAGCUGGUUCCCUGAAAAAUGAAUAAAAGUUCAGCCUACUAUUUUCUUUACCCAAAACCAAGGCACACCCUCAUUAUAGUAUAUAAGAAACUAGUAGAGUUAGUCAAAGGGGGUACAGCCCCUUUGAAACAAGAUACAACUUUAUACAGGAGGUAAAAGAUUAUAAAUAAAUAAGGUAUUAUGUCUUAGUGGGCUUAAGAGCAGCCACCCUAAAAGAAAGCGUCACAGCUCAAACAUAAACUAAACCUUAAAUUCUAAUAACUUCUUCUUUCACCCCUUUUAAUUAUUAGGGUAUUCUAUAAAAUUAUAGAAGAAAUUAUGCUAAUAUGAGUAAUAAGAGGCCAGACCCUCUCCCUACACAAGUGUACAUCAGAACAGACACCCUA
rnacentral:rRNA from 1 species